GUGGGUAUAGCCUAAUGGUAAGGCGCUGGAUUGUGGCUCCAGAUACGCGGGUUCGAUCCCCGUUACUCACC
rnacentral:tRNA from 1 species